rnacentral:rRNA from 1 species
UCAGCCCUAAACACAAAUAAUUUUAAAAACAAAAUUAUUCGCCAGAGUACUACCGGCAACAGCCUAAAACUCAAAGGACUUGGCGGUGCUUUAUACCCUUCUAGAGGAGCCUGUUCUAUAAUCGAUAAACCCCGAUAGACCUCACCAAUUCUUGCUAAUACAGUCUAUAUACCGCCAUCUUCAGCAAACCCUAAAAAGGAACAAAAGUAAGCGCAAUCAUGACACAUAAAAACGUUAGGUCAAGGUGUAACCUAUGAAAUGGGAAGAAAUGGGCUACAUUUUCUACUUCAAGAAAACCCACAUACGAAAGUUAUUAUGAAACUAAUAACCAAAGGAGGAUUUAGUAGUAAACUAAGAAUAGA